UUUCACCAUGAGAAGCAUGGCUGAAUGCCAGAGGUAACGAAGCUUGCUGGAUCCUCGGUGAUUCCCAGCACACACUGCGCUAACUCCAGCCAGCCACCUCUGUACUUUUUAUAAUGGACGUGGAAGCUUGGGGUUGCAGGAGAAUGGAAGACUGCUGCUGGGCAGGUAGCCGUGGCCUAUGGCCUGGCACCACUUCUGAUCCAGAAUGGGCUCAGUAAAAGUUUAUGGAAUUAAUGUGUUUAAAAACAAUAGACUGGGUGCAGAGACUUACCAAGCCAGGAGUCUCCAUUUCCAACAUUCGAACUUCAA